rnacentral:rRNA from 1 species
AUACGUAGGGAGCGAGCGUUGUCCGGAUUUACUGGGCGUAAAGGGCGUGUAGGCGGUCUUGCAAGUCAGAAGUGAAAUUCCUGAGCUCAACUCGGGCGCUGCUUCUGAAACUGCAGGACCUGAGUGCUGGAGGGGAUAGCGGAAUUCCUAGUGGAGCGGUAAAAUGCGCAGAUAUUAGGAAGUACACCGGUGGCGAAGGCGGCUAUCUGGACAGUAACUGACGCUGAGGCGCGAAAGCGUGGGGAGCGAACAGGAUUAGAUACCCUGGUAGUCCACGCGGUAAACGAUGAAUGCUAGGUGUUGCGGGUAUCGACCCCUGCAGUGCCGGAGUAAACACAAUAAGCAUUCCGCCUGGGGAGUACGGCCGCAAGGUUGAAACUCAAAUGAAUUGACGGGG